rnacentral:rRNA from 1 species
UAGGGAAUCUUCCACAAUGGGCGAAAGCCUGAUGGAGCAACGCCGCGUGUGUGAUGAAGGGUUUCGGCUCGUAAAACACUGUUGUAAGAGAAGAAUGACAUUGAGAGUAACUGUUCAAUGUGUGACGGUAUCUUACCAGAAAGGAACGGCUAAAUACGCGCCA